AAAAUACAAUGCAUUUGCCCAAUUGUUCCUUACGACGAAAAUUCUGUGACAAAUAAAAAGAACAAUGAAAACACAUUAAAGUGAAACAAGAUCACCUUCAGCGGUCAGCUGGCUGUCCUUAGUUAAAAGACAAGUCAUGUCACUGUGAAGUGACCGUCACAUUUGUCCUGAAAGAAUAGGGAGCAUUUCCUAGAAAGGGGUAAAAGUGCAAAGAAUCCUGUCCCCUUCCCUGGUACCACGCGUUCCUUGGGGAGGUCACUAGGCCCCCAACAGCACAGGGGUGAGUUAGCACUGGACUCUCAGCACUUCCUUUCGGAGAGGACAACCCCCUGCGUCACUGGUUACUCACUCAGGAUGCAGGGCAGAAGUUUAUCCCCGAGGAACUUAGCACAGUUGGCUCCCGCCCUCCCAGCCUUGCGGUCCUGGGCCCAAUCUCAGGGCUCUCUCUGCCCCGGGUACCCUGCAGCCUCCAGCGGGAGGGUCGCGAGACCCCAACUCGCCUCCGGCCCGCCCAGCGGCCAACAGCUGCCAGCCUGUUGAAACUGAUAAGCCCUGACAAGGCAGCCUGAUUACUGAGGUUGGCUGAAAGCCAGACCAUCCCCUACAAUAACCACCAUCACCUUUCACCAAAGAGAGAGAGAGUAAAGCAAGCCCAGAUUUGUUUUCCUGAAGGCUGAUGGGAGCAGGAAGGGAAGAAGGAAAUUUAAAGAUGUUUCUUCCUUCACUUCCUUCCUUCCUUGUACUGUCCUUGCUCAACGUGAAUCUACAAUCACUGCCACUUGAAUGGAUGCAACUUAUGUUAAUAAAUUGCCAGGAUCAGAACUCCCACUGCAGCAUUUCCUUCUCCAUAGAACCACUGAACCAGAAAUGCAUUCUAGUGAUUUUUUUUUGUCGUUAACGAUGAUUAAUUAAACAAACUCGAGAUUUCACGAGAAAAAACAUAGAUGCCCAGAUUUAACAAACUCCUUAUCUUUUUUCGACUUAAACCCACGAAGCUUUGGGGAGCACUCUAGCCCCUGCUACUCACCCAUGCAAGCGGGGUGCGCGCUCGCGCACACACUCACUCACUCCAAGAUAGGGGCUUUCUAGGAAAAUACUUUGAGCUGCCAAUCCAAGAUUUUACUUAAAGAAUUGACUUGGUUCUCAAGUGACAGAUCUCUAAGUGCCAGAGCGGCAAAGUGCACCAGGCUGAUAAAGUGCAUGCCAAGACUCUCAGGUGGGAAUUCUUGUCACAGCCAAGAGGUUGCUGGCAUAGGCACCCGAGGCUGGCAGAGCCUAGCCUCUGAGUCUCCCUACACUCCUGGGCUUGCUUUCCUUUUUGAAGCUGCCUGCAGCUCAAAGAGGAGUUUGAACCAAGGGCACUUGCUUCGCGAUCCUCCUGGCAGAGCCACAGCUCAAGUUUCC
rnacentral:lncRNA from 10 species